AUCUUCGUCCUCUUUAAUGGCAUUUCCUCUACCUUCAUCAUCAUCAUCAACAAUUGGAGGAACCUCCAAAUCAUCUACUGGUGCACCACCACCUACUAGCUUCUUCUCCUGCUUCAACUAAGAUAGCUUCAUCUAAAGCAUCCAAUUCUAAAUUUGCUUCGUUCUCCACCACAACCCAUUCUUCAUCAGAAGCUUUGGGGGAAAGUUUCAAAAGAAUUUAUAUGAUACAUUGGUAAAAUAUGCAUUCUUAGCUAGUUUCGUAUUACACUACAAAUUGAUCAUUUUAUCAAACCUAAUACCAUCUCUAACAUGAUCAUACAAGAUCACUCACUGGUUUUAUUCUCGGAAUUCUGUAAACAAUAAAUUAAAUUGUCUGCCUUCAUUUUCCUGUGUGAAUAUACUUAACGGAUGUCUUUGGCUGUCUUAGUUAGCUAAUAGCUAAAUGUUUAUGCAGCUGUGAUUGGAAUGAGAGACGUUCAAUGCUUUCAUAUCCAGACUAUUGUAGGAAGACUUAUGGAGCAAAUGAGAGCAUUUGGAACCUUUCUGAUUGUCAUGUACUUGGUUGCAAGCUCCAUUCCGGUGUGAGCAAUUCUUCAAGGAAAAUACUAUUUCAACUUCAUGAAAUUUUUAAGGCACUACCUGGUGUAGGAAAGCGGCAGACAUUUAAUAGUUCCAAGAUAAUACCUAUGGAUAACAUUUGCAGAUCAGGCAUUUGGGAGUUAUCUGAUGAUAUUUUAACUAAGAUUUUAGCUUCCCUGGGCCCAAUGGACCUCACUAGGGUUUCUGCAACAUGUCAUCAUUUAAGAUCCUUGGCUGCUUCGGUAAUGCCUUAUACCAAGUUAAAUCUGUUUCCUCAUCAGAGGACAGCAGUUGAGUGGAUGUUGCAUCGUGAGCGAAAUGCUGAGCUUUUGCCACAUCCGUUAUUUGUAGCUCUCUCAACUGAAGAUGGCUUUAGUUUCCAUGUAAAUACUGUAACUGGUGAUAUUGUUACUGGGGAAGCUCCCACCGUCAAGGAUUUUCGUGGAGGAAUGUUUUGUGACGAGCCUGGCUUGGGUAAGACUGUAACAGCUCUCUCUCUUAUUAUGAAGACGCGAGGUACAUUGGCAGACCCGCCAGAUGGGGCACAAGUAGUCUGGUGUCAACAUAAUGGUAAUCAGAAAUGUGGAUAUUACGAGGUCAGUGUUAGUGGUAAUCACAUCACUGGUUGUACUACCUUGGGUAAGAGGGAUGUGUGCCAAGAUACCAGCAGAACUAAUGAUAACCAUGAUUACUCCUCCAAAAGAGCCAGAUUGAUAGAUCCUGAUCAGCAAAUAACUAAACUUCAUGAUUCAUGUUCCAGGGAAGAAAACAAAUCACCUGUUGAUGCAUGUUUCAAGGAAUCUAUGCAUUCAAAUCAGUUCACUGGGAGUUUGAGUCGCAUAAAGAAAAAUCUACAUUUCACAUUUGAAGAUGAAGCUAUGAUUUCCAAGGAAAGAGAAAUUGGUGAAGGAUUAAUUAAAGCAAAGCAUGCAUUAGAUGUUACAUCUCAUGUAUCUCAAAACAAGUCGCCUGGGAAGCCUAAAGGUGACUGUUUUGAGUACAAUGAUACAUGGAUUCAGUGUGAUGCUUGUCACAAGUGGCGAAAGCUUGUAGACAAUAGUAUGGCUAAUUCUAGUGCAGCAUGGUUUUGUAGUAUGAACACUGACCCUCUGUAUCAAAGUUGUAGUGUCCCUGAACAACAUUUUCAUAAUAUCUGUAAGAUAACACACUUGCCAGGGUUUCAUUUGAAAGGAACUUGUGGAGGUGAGAAACAAAAUGUUUCUUUUUUCACUAGCGUGCUUAAGGAGCACUACUCCUUGAUAAAUUCUCAGACAAAGAAGGCCCUGACGUGGUUGGCUAAAAUUUCAACAGACAAGCUUGCAGGAAUGGAAACAAAUGGCAUCAGGGGUCCUAUUUUAAACAUUUGUACUGCAUCUAAUAGACAUUUCCACAAAAUAUUUCAAGCAUUUGGCCUCUUAAAGAGAGUAGAGAAAGGUGUUUGCAAGUGGUACUACCCUCAACAUCUUAACAAUUUGACUUUUGAUGUGGCUGCCCUUGGCAUGGCUCUCCGUGAACCAUUAGAUUUUGUUAGGUUAUACUUGUCAAGAGCUACCCUGGUAGUUGUUCCAGCAAACUUGGUUGAUCAUUGGAAAACGCAAAUAGAAAAGCAUGUGAGGCCUGGUCAAUUGCGGGUUUAUGUUUGGACUGAUCAUCAAAAGCCAUCUGUGCAUUGUCUUGCAUGGGAUUAUGAUGUUGUCAUAACUACUUUUAGUCGUUUGAGUGCAGAGUGGGGCCCACGUAAGAGGAGUGCUUUGAUUCAAGUGCAUUGGUUUAGGAUAAUUUUAGAUGAAGGGCACACUCUUGGGUCAAGCCUGAACUUAACAAACAAGUUGCAAAUGGCUAUUUCAUUGAUAGCUUCAAAUCGAUGGAUACUAACAGGAACUCCAACGCCUAACACUCCUAACAGCCAACUUCCUCAUCUACAACCAUUGCUAAGGUUCCUUCAUGAAGAAUCUUAUGGACUGAAUCAAAAGUCAUGGGAAGCUGGUGUGCUUAGGCCAUUUGAAGCAGAGAUGGAGGAAGGGAGGUCUCGUCUGUUACAUUUACUUCAAAAAUGCAUGAUUAGUGCUAGAAAGAUAGAUUUACAAAGCAUUCCACCAUGCACGAAGAAAGUUGUUUAUCUAGAUUUUAAUGAGGAGCAUGCUAGGAGUUACAAUGAAUUGGUAAUCACUGUACGACGUAAUAUAUUGAUGGCUGAUUGGAAUGAUCCUUCACAUAUUGAGAGUCUACUGAAUCCAAAACAGUGGAAAUUUCGUAGUGCAACUUUAAAAAAUGUGAGGCUUUCAUGCUGUGUUGCUGGACAUAUUAAAGUUACACAUGCUGGAGAAGAUAUUCAAGAAACAAUGGAUAUGUUAGUACAAAGUGGUCUGGACCCUACUUCAGGAGAGUAUACCUCCGUAAGAUAUAAUCUCUUGUAUGGUGGUCACUGUGUCAGGUAGUACCUAGGUUUUAUUCUUUCUUGUGGCUUUAUUUUUCUUCUGGUUGUUGCUGUUUAUUAAUUUUUUUCUUAAUAAAUUGUGAAGGUGCAAGGAAUGGUGUCGCCUUCCACUCAUUACCCCAUGUCGGCAUCUGUUGUGCCUUGAUUGUGUUUCUAUAGACAAUACCAAGUGUACUUAUCCUGGCUGCAGUAAAUUGUAUGAGAUGCAGAGUAGAGAGGCCCGACCUGAAAAUCCUAAACCGAAGUGGCCUGUACCCAAAGAUCUUAUUGAGCUACAACCUUCAUAUAAGCAGGCAUGGUUAAUGGAGAACUCAGUUAACAUUCAUCUUUUUUUCCCUCUUUCUGGUUUGCAAUGCUAACAUGCAAUGUUGAUUAUUUAAUACCCAGGAUAAUUGGGAUCCUGAUUGGCAAUCUACAUCUAGUAGUAAAGUCUCCUAUCUCGUCCAGAGGUUGAAAGCUUUGCGAGGAACCAAUGAAGAGACAUACUUCAAUACAGAAAAUAGCAAUGAUGAUUUGCAUAUUGAGAAUAGUUUGCAUAGAAGUGAUGACAAAUCAUCAAUUCAGACAUGUUCUAUGAGCAGCACUAAGACCAAUUUGAACCCUGAGAAAGUUCUGAUAUUUUCUCAAUUUCUUGAGCAUAUACAUGCCAUUGAACAGCAGGUACAGUUUUAUGCCGCAUUUUGUGUGUGAUCUUUCAUGAAUUGUUCUAUUUUAUUUUUUGGCAUCUGUGAAUUCUUUUGCAAAUGAUCAAACUAUUAAAUUGGAUUUCUCUUUGGCAGUUGACUAUUGCUGGUAUCAAAUAUACUGGAAUGUAUAGCCCAAUGCAUUCCAGCAACAAGGUAUAAUGCUGGAAUUUUCUUUUACUGUUUCUUAAAAUUAAAAUUUACUUUUGGUUUCUGACCGUUGGUUAAUUUGCCUUUUCCUUUUCCAGAAGAAGUCAUUAGCCAUGUUCCAGCAUGAUUCAAAUUGUAUGGCACUUCUGAUGGAUGGAAGUGCUGCAUUGGGUCUUGACUUGAGUUUUGUUACGCAUGUAUUUCUAAUGGAGCCAAUUUGGGACCGAAGGUUAAUAUAUCAAACUAAUAUAAUUUGCAAACAAGAAUAUAAAAUUAAUUUUUUAUUGCUUUUAAGACUGAGGGAUAAAAUGAUUUUGAGAAAUUUUAAAAUUCUACAUUAUUUAAUUUUCUUCUCAAGUUGAGCAUAGUAAAAUUUUCUGUGAACUUUCUGUGUGGCUAAUAUGCAUUGUCAAUACUGAACUUUUCUGUUUUGGGAUUUAGCAUGCAAACUGGAACCAUGCUGCAUAAAGUGACUGGCAGUGUAUCUCUUGGUUUCCCAAUUUGCUGGAUCCUUCUACUUCAACCGAAAUUGGCAUGUUUAUCCAGUUUAAUUAUUUUCUAACUUGACCAAAAUGUUUUCAGUAUGGAGGAGCAAGUAAUUAGUCGUGCUCAUCGUAUGGGUGCUUCUCGUCCUAUUUAUGUGGAAACAUUAGCAAUGCGUGGUACAAUUGAAGAGCAAAUGCUAGACUUUUUACAGGUAAAUCUCUAUAAAUUGAACUAUCUUACACCUAUUUGAGUGUACUACUAACAAUGAUGGGUCUCUUUGAAGGCCUUGUUAGUUUAUGUUGUCGUUCAUGUAUGUCACUGAAAAUUGUCUCCUCAAUGUCUUUUGUUUUGUUUAGCUUUUAUAUUGUUGUUGUUGUUCAUCUUUCAAUUUGUUGAUGGUUUAAGCAGGAUGCUGAUAACUUUAGAAGAUCACCAAUUAAGGAUGCUACCGAAUCUGUUGAUGAUAGUGGGGGACGAGGAUAUAGAUCAUUGCAUGAUUUUGCUGAGAGUAGUUAUCUACUGAAACUUAGAUCUGUGUAUACUAAUUUGGAAAGUCCAAAAGGUUUGUACAUACAGUUUUUCCUUAACUGUUUUUUGUUAGCAAACAUAGAUUCAACAGAAAGAUGAGUGAUAUUGCAUUUGAGAAAUUGAAUGCGAGUAGUUUUUAUGACUUCUAUUCCUUAACUGUUUAUUUGAAAUUUUUGCCUGAAACAAAAAGUAAAAAGGUUAUGGUUAUGUUUUCGCCUAAACUGACUAAUAAGAUGCUUUAAAGUUUAUAAGCCACCAGCUAAAAGUUUAUAAGCUUGCAUAUUAAAUUAUAAGUGUUUUGUAAAAUUAUUGGAAUAGUUGGUAAAUGUAAAAUAACAUAAACAUAUUGUAUAACUGUUUUAUGUGAAUUCUAUUUUUGUUUUGUAGUCAAAAACAUUUAAUUAAAAGCUAAUUAAAUAGUUCUGUUAAAGUAAAUACUAAAAUAUUAUAUGAAAUAAAUAACCCAAAAAUUAAUAAAAAGAGAAAAGUAAUUAAAAAAUAGUUACAUAUGAACAAUGUUGAAGAACAGAUCGAGGGUAAAGGUAUAUUAAAAUAGUAAGGAUAUAAAGGAAGGAAAAAAUAAACUACAUGCUUAUAAAUUAUAAGCUACCUGAAGUAGCUAUAAGUUAGUGAAAUAUACUUGUUUACCAAAUACCUUAAUUUGGUCAAACAAAGCUUACAAUGUAGUCAACUAAGUUACAAGUUUGCUUAUUGGACAUGCCAAACACACUAGAUGUUUGGAAGUGAUAAAGCUGUUGAAAUCCUACUAUGAUUUUCUUUUCGAGUGAAAGAAUCAAGUGAUACUUGCAUUGCUCAAAAGUCACAAGUUAUUGUCAAUUCACUUGGUGAAUUUUGGUUAAAUGAAAUAUUGUACUCCCUUCGUCCCUAAAUAUUAGACUCUUUUAAAUGAUUCACACCCUUUAAGAAAGUUAGUUAAUAUAUUUAAUAGUAUUAAAAUUGUUAACAAUUUGUUUUAUUUUGCCAAAGUUACCCUUAAAAUUAUUGGGACUCAUAUCUUUCCUUUCACUUAAUUACUUCCCCACUUAAUUAAUUAAUGUGUGUUAAUCUUAUCUAAUCCUUAUAAGAGAAAUAAUGAUUUAUCUUUUUAGUACAUAACAUUUAUUGUAAAGUAAUUAAGAGUAUUUGGAUCAAAAUAUAAUUAAUGCAAAAGACAACUUGAAACAAACAUAAUUGAAAAAAGACUCUUAUAUUUAGGGACGAAGGAAGUAUGUCCGAGCACUUUAAGCCUGUUGAAACUGAUGGCAUGCUCUGACCCCUCUGAAUAGGACACCCUCUCCUCUCAACUUUCCCUUACCAAAUUGUAUGUUUUUUGAAAAUGAAUUUAGGAUAUGCACUUGCACUUGAAUGAAUUCUUUUACUUUUCUUUAUUAACUUGUUAAUUUAUUUAUUUUUUUAGAAUAUAAUUAGAAUGUAUUGAGUUACACUGUCUUCCAAUAUGAAUAGUCAUAUAGGUGAAAGUUGUUGACUUUUAAAAGUCUAUCUAGAAUGAUUUCUAAUUAGUUGAUAAUGUAAAAAUCUUUAUACUAUCACUAUCUUAAUUAAACUCUUGUGAUAAUGACUUUUUUAUCCGUUUUUACUUCAGGUGUUUGAUUGAUCAACAUCAAGCAAGUACUGACUAAUUUACUUGGAGCAAGUCCUGUGUACAUUUUGCAAGUUUGCAUGCUCUUGAAUAUGGUUUUACUUUUUGAGUAUAUAGUCUUACAAGUGCUCAUCUAAUGAAAGAUGCUUCCAUAUGCAUUGGAGAGUGGAAACUAUUCUUUUUGUGCAGAUUAUGGAGCUAUUUGCAGCGUCGCUUCUGUUUGCCAGUGAUUAAUGAAAUACCGGAAGUGUCCCUGCUUAUUCUUAUGUAAAGGAUUUAGUCUAGUUGAUUUGAUGUGAUCUAGUAGGCAAUUUGGAGUCAAGUAUUCGAAUUGAAAUAAAAUGUUGAGUUAUUGGAAAACAAGUGUUCUCCCACACCCUUUCUCUUAACAGUAGGUAAUAUUGAAAAAUCAUAAUAACCCUUGCCCCCUAAAAUUGGUGAUAUCAUGUAUGUUCUUAUGACUAUCGAUUUCAUUAUAUGCAGCUAAUAUUGUAAUUAUUAGCAAUGAUCCCAGUGCUUAUUAGUCAACAGAAAUUUCAAGAUAUAUUAGCAAUUUGAGGGAGAAAAGGUUUCUGUUCAAUUUAUUCUCAUGUUAGCCUGGGUUUUUAAUUGAUUAUUAUGCUUUGUAGGUUUGUUCAUUUAGUCAUUUGAUUUUGUUGGUCAUUCGGAACGACCACCUGGAUAGUGUAGAAGUUCAAUUAGUUAUACAAUAGGAUAUAAUAUAUAUGGAUGGAGAGAUAAUGAUAAAGAUAGAUGGAUGAAUGGAUAGAGGUAAAGACAGAUGGAUAAUCUUGGAUUAAAUUUAAUUUUGGUUACGUAUGAGUAGAAACUCCCAAAUUCUAUAAUUGUAUUCACUCACAAGUUCUACUCCCAAAUUCAAUAUUCACUCACAAGACACAAGUUGAUUAUUAUGGGACAACAUAAGGGGAUAGGAUUACCUCCUAGGGGAGGAAAGAAAUUAAAAGUUAAUUUUCAAAAUAGUAACCAACCUCCCCGUAUCAAUGUGUUUUUUCACGUUAAAAAGGAAAAAUAAAUAUCACCAAUCAUGCUAUAGGCCUCAAUUUAGCCCAAAAUAUGCAGACAAGUCUAAAAUCCAUAAUUAACUAAUAAAAAUGGUCCUAAUGUAUUCCAAGCUUGAAAUCAAGAAUCGACCAAUCAAAAUAUUCUUAAAUAAUUACAGGUUCAAUUUAGGACUUAAUGACAAUACAAAAUCCAUACUUAAGCUCAAAAUAUUUGAUUUAAUCUUUCAAUCAAGUCCAUAACGACUCAUGGAUAGCUAACACCAAAUUGGAUGAAUUUCGACAAUUAGGUUUUUCAUAACUUCUCUAACUCUCUUGACGCUUUUGUCAUUAGAUACAAACCACAAAUGGUUCAAUUGUAAUUUGUCUUUGGUAUAUUGAUAGGUUCAAUAUUAUUUUUUUCCGUUCUUUCACUCCAAAGAUUGAAGGAAAAAGAAACUUUAUGUUAAAAAAAUGUAACUUAAAAUUAUAUUUUCUUUUCAUCCUUUGGUCUCUUCUGCUUCUAAUAUUAUCCAGAAAUAAUGAAUUGAGUUCAUAUAAACAUUUUGGAUGCUGCCAUUGAAAUAGUGGUUCUUGCUAUAUUUCACAGGGCCUCACCCAUUUUAUAAAGUAUUUUUUUCCAUGUUUAAUGAUAGUUAAAAAAUAUUCGAUAGUAGUAGUAGUAGUAAAUUUGCUAUAAUUUUGACAAAAAAAUGAGUAUUUUAUUAAACUCACUACAAAUUUCAUAGAAAAAUUUAUUUUUUUCUGCACAAUUUCUUACAAAAUUUGUUUUGUAUUAUAAACUUACAUAUUUUUUCUCAAAAAAAUUACAAUAAAUUUUCCAUUUUUUAAAAUCAGUACCUUAUAAUUUAUUUUUUUAAAAAAAUACCUUUAAGAGUGCUACUAAAUUUCCUUAAAUUCACUAAGAAAUCAUAAAAAAAAUAGUUUUUUCUGCAAAGUUUUUUUUACGAAAUUUUUUUUGUAUAAAAAAAAUUCUUUUAGAUUUUCCAAAAAAAAAUUACAAAUAAAUUUUCCAUUUUUUAUAUAUUCGGUACCAAAUAAAUUGUAAGAAAAACCUUAGGAGUGCUAUGAAAAUAAAGUAAGGAAAAUAUAUUUUAAUAUUAUAAAAGUCAAUUAAUUAAAAAAAUAGUUAAUAUUUGAAUAGUAUCGCUAAAUGCUUAAAAUUAACUAUAACAAAUGAUAUUAUAUAAAUCAUUAUUUUAAUUUGUAGAUUAUAGAUUAUUUUAGCCGUUUCAAUUUGGUUUUUCUCUGCCACUUCCAAAUAUAAUUGAAUUUUCAAAAGUAUAAUUUACUUAUAUAUAUUUUUAUUUGAAUAAAUUUUGGAAGAAGAGAGCUAGGUUAAGAUUAAUGUCUGUCCUUACUUAAAUCCUUUCUAAAAAAGGAACAAUUUAUGAGUGAAAAUUAAUAAGCUUAAACAUUUUAGUCUCAAGAUUGUCUCUAAAUAAAAAUAAAGCAUUUCUAAUUUAAUUGAAUGCAUGUACAUAAGUGAAAGCUACCACACGUAGUUUUGGAUUACAAGGUGUUUAUAGUCCGACAGUUUCUAUGUGAUACAUAAUUGAGUUUUUCAAUUUACUAAAAAAAUUAAUAAUAUUCCCUUAUGUGUCAUAUUAACAUAGAUUGAAAUCAUAGUGGUCCCUAAUCAUAUGCAGAUAAGGCCUCUUGAUGCCAAGACCUUUAAGUAGCUGCCUAUCAUUUUGGAAGCAUGUGUAGUAGGAGGUAUUUCUUAGAAUUUGACAUCGAUGUUUUAAGAGAAUCAGAUGAGUCAUCAAACUGAUAAAGAUAAUGGAUUAAUAGGUCACUAAUCAGAUCAAAAUUUCAUUAAUCAAACUGGUUUAACUUGAUAUAUAUUAAAAAAAUUAUAAAAAAUAUAAUUAAUUAAUUUUAUUUAAUCAUUCAAUACUCUAAAUUUAAAAUGAUUGUCGUUAUAAAAUACCUAAUAUAUCAAAUAGUCAUCAAUAUUCAUGUCAAUGCAACUUUAUAAAUAAGUUUCAAAUACAAACAAACAUUCAAUGUGUUAAAAAUAAAAUUAAGUUUACAAAAAAUUUAUAUAUAUAUAUAUAUAUAUAUAUAUAUAUAUAUAAAAUAACACUUGAUUCAAUCAAAGACUCAAUGGAUUUAACCUGGACUACACCAAUUCUAAUAUAUUUACGAUCCCGACCGGUGUGUUUAUUGGAUUCCGAUUGAAUUCUGUCCAAUCCGAUUCUUAAAGCAAUGCGUGACAUGCGUCCAAGUUAACCUAUUUUGGUCGAUGGUGGAGGGGAGCGAAUCUUCCGCUCAAUAAUGCAUUUACUUGACCAAUAGUGUUAGUAAUGCAUGCUUGAUUUCUUUAUGCAAGAUUUUGAUUCUGGGCUUUGUGUAUAACAAUAAUUUCUAAUAGAACAUUUAAUCCCAUUAUAUUCUGAAAUUUACACAAAAGCUGAGUUCUAAGAUGGGUUCUGCAAUUCACAUACAUUGUUGCUGAAAUCCAGCAUCAGUACUUCAAAUUCCACUUGUCAUGCUUGAUUACGACGAACGAAUGCCGACACUACGCUGGCUUUGGACCAUAAAUUUAAGUAAAUAAUUAAAACCAGCGUUUUUAAGUUACACACUCAUCAUAUAAUGUGGUCUUUAACAUCUUGAUUGUGACACUACACAUGCUAUAAUUUGCAUGUAUAGUGAUGCAAUUUGACCGUAGAAGUAAUUUUAACGUUACUAUUAAAUCCUUUUUUCAACUUGCCAAGGCUUGUGGGGUUGUCGCAUUUAAUAUAAACAUGUCUUGAAGUUUCUCACAAGAUAAGGAGUGUCCCCUCUCAUUGAAAUUUAUAUCGAACUUUUGACUUUUCAAUAGAAAAGCAUGAAAUUUAUUGAAUUUGAAAUUUAAAAAAUGUUUUUUUUAACCGAGAGACAUUGAAAUAUUUUAUUUGUCACUCAACUAAUUUUCUUUUAUCAUAUGGUCCCAUUUUAAGAUAAAAUAAUAUCUUUAAUUAUAACUUAAUUCUCAAGUUAGAGAUCAAACAUUAUACCUUAAUUAGUUAAAAAUCCAACUGUGUGAAAUCACUUCUAUCAACAACGAAUUUUGGCCCAUCUUGUGCUAACAACUAAGUUGUUAUUAAUUACUAUACAGAUUGCGUCUAGGUUCUUCAUUUACAAUACCAUGGGACCUAGGAGUCUCAAUCCCUUUUGAAUAAUCCACACCAAACUUUGGCAUAUAAUACAAUGACAAAGCAAGUCAUUAAUGACCUAGAUUGAGACCUAGCACCUACACCGAGCCCUUACUAGUAUAAAAACCGAACACUAAGUGUGAGUUAUGCACACCAACACCAAAACAAACCCACUAAGAUGGCUUCCUUUGUAUCCUUCCUAGUGCUGCUUCUUGCAGCCCUUAUCCUCAUGCCUCAAGGGCUUGCUACUUACUACAAACCAAUUAAGAAGCCACCAGUGUACAAGCCUCCAGUGUACAAGCCACCAGUGUACAAACCACCGGUUUAUAAGCCAAAACCACCGGUUUACAAGCCGAAACCACCGGUUUACAAGCCACCAUAUAAGAAGCCACCAUACAAGAAACCACCUUAUGGAAAGUACCCUCCAGUAGAGGACAACACCCAUGCCUAAAGCAAGCAAUGAGGUCUAUUAUCUACUUAAUAAAUAAGAGGAACUGCUUUGUGUUUUCUAGCAUUGUGACUUACAACUUCGUAGCAAUGCAUAUUCUUGACUCUUGCAUGCACUUCAAUCCUUCGUAGCAUUAAUGAUGUGGCCAAGUCAUCAUGAGCAUCAUACUUAUUUCUUUGUGAAUGUAAAUCAAAAUUAUAAGAGAGAAAAUGGUGCUUUUGUACUACAGAUUACUAUAAAUAAAAAACUUUUAUGGUUUUCAGAUUGUGCUGGUUGAUUGAUUUGCUCUACCAUUAAUUAUGACGAAACGUAGUUUUUUUUUUUCUCUUUUUUAAUCCGUAAAAAUAAAAAAAAUAAAAAAAUAAAUUUAUAAUAAUUCACACUUUAUUUAAUUAAUCGAAAUAAAUUCCAUAAUAGAUGAUACAUAGUUUGACAUACUAUUGUUAAGCUUAAGAUUAAAGAUCGACCCUAUGUUGCAACUAAACUUUCUACAAUCAAUUUUAUAAAUUGGAUUGGUGCAUGUAAGUCUAGCUAGCUAGAGGCAGAAGAACAGUACUAGAGUAGUAGAUGGAAGCCACUCUCCACGCACCUCAAAUAACUCGCAAUUAAACUUGAGCAUAACAUCAAUAGCGACUUAAGUUAAUUUCAAUUAUGGGCUCUAUUUGAACAAAUUUCUCUAUAAAUAUUUCCAGAAGAAAAUAUUAAGAAAACAAUAAAUUGAACUUCUCAUUUAAGUUAAAAUAAACAUAUUUGUAUAUUUUUUAUAUAAAAACUCUCAUUUAACUUCUCUUAAAAAUAUUGAAGUAUAUAAAUUAAUUUUAGCUUAUGAAAAAAAAAAUCAACUUAUUUUAAUUUUCUAUUCUUAAAAAGCCAUAGUUAUAGUUAAUGUGUACAAAGACCAGUUCCUACGAGAGUUGCUGUAUCCUCCUAAACCAAAUAUCCGAAUACUCCUACUCAGUAAGAAUAUUUUGAUAUCUGUUAAUAAUUUUAUAAUAAAUUAUUUAUUUAAUUUGACAUUUUAAUAUUUAAUUUCUUUCCAAGUUUACCCCUUUUCCAUAUGACCAGUCAACUUAUCCUCUUCAUUCGACUUUAAAAAGAGUGGGUGGUGGUGCGGUGAAGCUGAAAACCACACACAAUGAUGGUGGUGGAGAAUGUGAAAAUGGUUGUGGUCGGAGAAGGAGGUACAAGGGACAAAGUUAACUGAGGAAAAAAAAAACUCAGCGUGAGAGAGGGUCUUUUGAAAAAAAGGACAAAUUUGGAAAGGAGAAAAAAAGUUAAAAAGUGUGUUAACAAGUGUGAAUGCUUAGGUGAUUCAGUUACUUUUUCGCCACAUAUGAUCGGAGGAAUAAACAUUUCUCUUUUUCAUAUUACUAUUUUUGUAUGUUUGUCUACACGUACAUGUGGACGGUUAUUUGUAUCAAGUAUCAACUACAUAUGGGUGUCAAAAUUUAAAACUGAACCGAAUUUAAUGAAUUGAUUCAACAACUCUAAUAUAUAUGUGAUGUGAUUUGAAUUUUAAUAAUUUGCGUACGAUUUUAAUUUAAUUUUGAACCUACUUCAGUACAAAAAUUUACGUAUAAUCUUACUACAAGUACUUAAGUCACCACAAUCAUCUACACUCACAUCUUGAAAAAGUGACAUUGAUAGCAAAUUCAUGAAGUACUCACAGCUAACGUCAUUUGAUGGUUGAAUGAACCCCUCAGCUACCCAUAGCUGAAUGAGUGUUCUCUUAUCAAACUCAAAACCUUUUGGAAACAAUGAACAAUAAGCAAAACAGUUUUCCAAAAAUGAAGGAAGAUGGUCAAAACUCAGUUUAAGGAUUGCAAAGAUUUUGUCCUUCUCUUGAUCUAUCUUUGAAAACCCAACUUCCUUAGAGGCUAUUACUAUGCGCACCCAGCAUAAUUACUGGUACAUCCAGCAUAACAGCAUAAUUCCCGUUUUGUCCUUUCCUAAAAUUGAUACAAAUUGUCAAUUCAUAUAAGAUUUACGGAUUGUCCAAUCUGUAAGUAGCCCAAAUAUUUUUUUAAUUUUUUUUUUAAAAAAAUAUGUUUUAUGAAUUAAUUUAAAAUUAAUGAUUCAUGCAAGAAUCAAACUUAUAACUUUCACGUUAUUAACACGACAUUCUAACCAAUCUCAAUAUUCUUGUCAACCCUUUUAAGUUAUUUUCUUUAUGUUAGUUUUUAACCGAUGUUGAAAGUGCCGAUGUUGAAUGUAUUAUCGUUAACAUCGGUUUUAAAAAAACUGAUGUUAACGUUAAUUUUACAACAUCGUUUAUUUAAAUAACCAAUGUUGAUAAUAAGAAUUACACCCAAAAAAAUGUAUUAAUGUUGAUAGUUAACAUCGGUUUUUUGGAAAAAUCGAUGUUAACGUAACUUAACAUCGGUUUUUUUAUAUAAAAUUGAUGUUAACGUAUGUGUUAAUGUUGACAGUUAACAUCGGUUUUUUGGAAAAACCAAUGUUAACGUAACUUAACAUCGGUUUUUUUACAGAAAACCGAUGUUAACGUAUGUGUUAAUGUUGACAGUUAACAUCGAUUUUCUGUAAAAAAAAAGAAAACCGAUUUUAACGUACGUUAACAUCAGUUUUUUCCAAAAACCCGAUGUUAACGUAUGUGUUAAUGUUGACAAUUAACAUCGGUUUUUCCAAAUAAUCGAUGUUGUUUUCAGGAUUUUUUUUUAAAUAUUCUCUCUGUUUUUACAAAAAAAACCAAAAUUUAACCUGUAAAUUUAAAAUUAGACCACACAGCAUAUAUGAUUUGCAUUUUGCUUUCAAAUAGGUUUUAGCAGAAAACUAGCUAGUAAACUAUUAAAAUGAAACAUCAAUUGUAAAAAAUGUAAUGCAAAGUACGGUAAACUAAUUAAGUAACCUAAAGUUACAUAGUUCCCUAACAUCCUAUGUUUGAUUUCUAACUUUUAGAUAAUAUUGUGCCCACUGCAUGUGAAGCGCCUUGAAUCUCUCUGCUUCCAAUGAUCUAACAUCAUUAAAAUACUGGAUGAUCAAAUAAAAGAUAAAUUAAUGAUGUAAUAACAAUGAUAAGAAAAUCAACUUUGUUUGAAAUAAACAAUUACCGUUUCUCAAUUAUUCCUGAAAGUUCCUGAGAUUAUCGUGGACAUCUAGUGCAUGACGUAAUAGCUGUACUCAGUGUUUCGUUUUUGUCUAUUACACUAAAUACAUAAUGAAAUUUGGAUAUUAAUUAAGCGUUAACUACAAUUAGUGUACACACACAUAAGCAGUAUAUAUAAUUAGAAGUUUAAUUUAAAUCACGUACCUUAACAACAAUCCACCUAGCCGCAGCCUUGGAUUUAGGUUGUGGAGUAUCAUCAAGUCCUUUCAAAGCACUAUUGAAUACGAGGAACAUUAAAAUAUUGAUGUUGUUGAGUUAUGCUAAUGCAAAUAUAUUGAAAACAACAUUGACCUGUUAAUUAUUCCCUUAAGGUAGUUGUCUGGCCUGUUAUGUAAAGAACAAAACCAGACAACUAGGUUUUCCUUAGGCAAAAUGACGACCAUUUGCCAGUGUCCGCUGCAGUGGAGACGAAUAUGGGCUAUUGUAAUAGUAUAGAUUAUUUAAAUUCAGUUGUUGUGUUUGACUUACCAAUUCAGGUAAGCUCCAAGGUAAACAUCGCGUUUUGAACCCUGCAUCCAACUCUUGAUGUAACUUUUCGAUUCAAAUUGUGAUUGCCCAAAUCUCUGAAUGGACUGUGGCUCGAGAAAUCCAUACACAUCGGAAUUCCCCGCUCACAUACUUGUCUCAGUCAGAUGCCUGUGUUGUUAAGACAAAGUUAAUUAUGUAUGAAUUUAAAACAAUUACUUUGUUAAUUAACAGUAAUCUAAAUUGACUUACAAAAUUCACAACUGUAUAACAGAGAUGCUGAGACAUUGACCACCGUGUGCUAUUUCAUACAGAUCUUCAUGCUUUAUGUACAAGGGAAAGUCUGAAUUAAACAGCCCGAACAGGGAAGCAUCCCACAUAACCUUGAGAGGCUUCAAAAACAAUUGUGGGAUGGUCAAUGUCAUCAGAUGCAGAGGAUCAUCGACCUCACGAUCCGGGCUUUUUGGAGGUUUUGCUAGAGACACAACUGCCUGUUAAUCAAACAUAGUUAAUUAACAAGUUUUGAUUACAGUGAACAAAUCAAUUGAAAAAAAGAAACAUAUAAUCAGAGUAAAAUACCUGUUCUGAUAAACGUUUCACGAGAUGUAUCGGCCAAGCAAGGAAGGUGUUAAGUGUCUGCCCCACUAAGGUAACCUUGUCAAUGGGUACAGGAACGGGAGUCUCUGCAUCUUUAACCUCCUCAACACCAACCUUCACUUGGCCAUGCAACAAAGGGAUGUUAUGAACCACUGUGGAUCCCUCAUAAAGUCUUCCUAGGGCAACCAAGUAGGAAGGAUUUUCUUCAAUUUACAGCCCGCAUUUGUCUGAGUCAUCCGUCUCUGGAUCGUUCCCUGAGGAAUCAACACAACUCUUCUUUGUGCUGACACGAGCACUUGAGGGACCAACCUUUGGCUCCGGAGGCAGUGUAAAUCCCUGUGAUUGCAUCUGAGACUGAAACUGGGACUGCAUUUGGCUGAAGGAUGCCAUCACCUGCUGAGUAACUUUUUCUGUGAUCGACUCCUCCAGCUAGUCCCUGAUUUGUUGGGUUAACUGUUGUAGGUCUUCAGGAGGCAUAGAGGAAGAACUACGGGACAUUCGUGUAGCCAAUCCGAAAUAUUGCUUUAUGGUCACAUCAGCUCCAGCAGCACGGACACGGCCAGGGUGCUCUGAUCGCCCAAUGACAACAGUCAGGACAUCCUGACGUCUAUGGGGGACGAACGAUCCCUGUGACGCCUGCUCCUCCAAAGAAUCCUGUACAUAACACAUAUAUCUGUCCAAGGCAUUCACAAAAUACACAAAGAUAAUUACAAUUCUUAAUUGAAAAUGACUUACAAUCUUCUCAGUUAUUUCCUUUGUUGCCUCAGACGUCAUCGGCCCAGUUUUCUUUGUGUAGACCAUUUUUCACUUCAUGUGGCGUCUGAUGGGAGAUGGAGGGUCAAUGACGCCCUCAGUGCUUUCGGAUUGGGCAGCUUCCUCCAGUCUUUUCUUUGUCUUCUCAGCCAUAAGCUUUUGUUCUAAAUAUUCAUAACCCCCACGAAACAACACGUGGGGGGCAGUGUUUUGCUUCUGGAUGACUUGUGUUUUUUUCCGCACAUCCUGCAAAAAUCGAACAUUAAUGAAAAUGAUUACUACAAUGAAUUAUAAGAAGUUAUUUUUUUUGUGGAAAACAACUAAAAUGACAAACUACAUACCUCCCACGAGGGGUCUCUGCGGGUCUGACAAAACUUGGCCCAUUUCUCCUUGCUAAUGUCGCAUUUUUCACAGACAGUGUCGUCCACACCGUCCUUGUCGGCUGCAAGUGCCCAUUUCCUGGUCAAGUCAGAUUUAAACUGCCUCCACGGCUUGUCGACAGUCUGAAGAAUUUUCUUCUUUGUCCUACUGUUAGAAGCUUCAGGGAUUUCAGAUGUUAAGAUCAAGUAGUUAACAUCGGUUUUGACAUCGGUUUUGAAAAAACCGAUGUUAACUAACUCGACUUAUUUACAAAAAUGUCAUCGUGCUUUUCUUAACAUUGGUUUUUUAAAAAAUCGAUGUUAAUCGUGCGAUGUUAAAUCUAUAUUUUGUAGUAGUGUUUAGGUAUCUCAUAAAUUAGUCAAUUUUAUUUUGAGUUCUUAAAUUUUUUUCUUUUUAUUUGAUCCUUGAUAUUUUAUUUUUGAGUUCAUGCCGUUAAAAAUUUUAAAAUGCAAUUUUUUACUACUAAAAAUAAUAACAAUGUAAAUUUAUUUAAAAUAUUAAAUUACCAUUUAUGGCAAUUCAAUUGGAAAAAAUGAAGUAGAUAUGAUCAAAUAAAACCUUACAGACAAGACGAAGUCUAAGGUGGUCAAGUGAGUUAGGUGAUUUCUGGUGGUCAAAUAAUUUUUUGCCAAUAGAUUUAUUAAUAAAAUAUUAAACCAUUCAGAUGAAAUCUUUUUGUCAGUUUUUAACAAUUAAAAUUAUUUCCUCCCUUGUCUGUCGUGCACCACCAUUGGCAACACGUCACUACCUUGCUUUACUUUCCACUCUUCUUCUUUCCCUCUAUUUCCCUUCGUACUUUGACACCUCCGUAACCUCACUGUCAUGUUGUUGAAUUCACAUCCUUGAUUUUAAUUAUGACAAACCAUUAGCAAAACAAAUUGAAAGGAUGAUGGGUUUAAGUGAUGGCUAACAUUUCUCCCAAGCGUUUUAGUGUUUAUUCCUUAAGAAGCAUAAGUGUUCUUUCAUUCUGAUGUACUUAGAAUGAUGCUUAGAAAGGUUCGAAGAAUUGUUGUGAGAGUUGAAAACUUAGAAGAAUCCUUAAAGCCCAUCAAAAUGAUGAAAUUUGCUUCCCUUUGAAUACUUAGUUCUUGGCAAGAUACUGAACAACCUUACAUAAAAGAUUCAUCAAAAGAUUCAUCAAAGGCUACCAGAAGAACAUCUUGGUUUAGAAUGAAGUUAUGCAGAGUCUACAUAGAAUGACAAACACCUUGACUCUGAGUUUCUAAACAUCAGAAUGAUUCAGAAAGACUCAUAAUGCAUCACUUAAACAAUAUUAGAAGAUUAAAGUUUCACAUUUCUUCACUUUGCAUAUGCCACCACAAUCACUGUAGGCACGUUAGAAAGUAAGAAUUGACUGCAUAAAAAGAUGUAAAAUUGUUGAAUGAUGAAGUUGUCCAUGAGAAGCAUUAAUGUAAACCAUCAGAUUGAAGGACUAAAGAAAACUACUCAGCCUGACCAUAGACAAAACACUAACACACCAACAACUCAAUUUCUACUAAGUCUUUCUAAAGUAAAUCAACUUAAGAAUGUUUCAAAGUUGUGAACAAGUGUUAAGAGUGAUGAAGUUGUACGACUUCGGAUUGAAAUUUCUAUCUAAACUUCGUCAAAGGAAUUCAUUAAGCAUGGACUCAUUCUUUACAAACAUCAUAAUGACUAUUGUGAUGGUUCUUCAGAAUCCGCAUAAAAAAAGUUCCUCAGAAUGGUAAUCUCCAAAUGGUUUUGUCUACUGUCACUUCAUGAUAGUUAUAAGGUGAACCUACUUGCUCCAGAAAUGUUUCAGUUGUGUGGAGCCCACUACAAUGAUUUUCUUGGGAGCUUUAUAAGGAAUUUUAGAAGGCUAUGAAGAACAAGUUGAAGCAUUCCAAAUUUGUAUCACAUUGUGCAAGUCCUUUGAGUAAGAAAUUUGUGUUUUAGCUUCAACCCUCUCUGUUAGAGUGACCCACUUUUGUAUUGUGCUUUCAAAGCUUGUAAUAACCUUAGAUAGAAAUGAGAGAUUAAGUUCUUGAGUGGAAUCCCUCAUGUGAGGUGAAAAUCUUUAGCAUGUGUCGUAAAACCAUAGAUAUUUUUUUUUUAUGUAAAGUCCAAUAGUGACUAGCAAAGGUGAAAUCCAGUGGUGCAGCUGGUCUAGUAGAAGAUUGAAGUCUAGUAAGGAAUUGACAAGGUUGUGAAACCCAAUGGUUGUUGGUCCAGUUGUGAAUUGGUUGUGUUACUGAAAUAACAUCUUUAAGGGUGAGGAUUGGACGUAGCCCAAGGUUGGGGUGAACCAGUAUAAAAACCUUUGUGCACUUUCUUCUCUUUCUCUAUAUUUUGUUCUUGCACAAAUCUAAAACUACUUUUGUAUAAAAUACUAAAUUUGUUAACUUUUUAUCUUAACAACUAAACUAAGUUUUGUUUUAUCAAGAGGUAUUAGUAAAGAACUAUCUUUAAAACAAAAGUCUUAAAACUGCAAAAGAACUAUUUUUUUGAAUGGUUUGCAUUUUCAUUCUGAGUUGCUUGAAUUUCCAUUCUAAGCUCAUAACAGUUUUUAUAUUCUGAACUACCAUAAAAAAAACCUUUUUGUUUUCAAAGGAAGAUUAAAAGUUUUCAAAACCCCAAUUAAACCCCCAUUUUUGGUAUUUUUCUCACUUCAAUUAGCAUCAAAGUUUAAAUGAGUUAUUCACGAGCCCUUAAUGUCAAGCUUUCAAAGCUUGAGUUUGACUCAUUUAAAUAAUCAAGCUUAAUCUCAAGCUUAAAUUUGUUUGUUUAAUUAAACAAAUGAACUUAAAUGAUUAAUUAACAAGUUGAACUUGAAUAGUUCACAAAUAGUUUGUCUUAUUCACAUCCCUAACUCUUCAUUUUUUUAUCCAUAGGAAUUGAAUAAGAUAUAAAAAAAUUUAGAACACUCAGACACCCUGCUUAAUCAACUAAGUUAGACACCUUUAGUCCCUAACUCUUCAUAUGGUUAUAAUCAUAUUCUAGUAACAAUAUGUUUCAUUUCACUACCUUACUAAAUUACAGGACUGACUUCAUUAUUUUGCAACACCCUUUACAUCACAUCAUUCAUUCAUAAAAUUUGCAUUAGUUAAAUAAAAUUAUUCAUCAUCAACAACUAUGUAAUGUAUACCACCAUGCAAUCAAAGGAUAAGCAAUUAAGAAAAUAUUUAAGCUUAUAUAAUCCAAGUAGCAUGAUUGCCUUAAUUGGUACAUAAUGCAAGGCAUAAAAACCAAAAAGUGGCAGUAUGUGUAAUAACAAAAUGAAACAAAGGAAGGAGAAAAAAUUAUUUGUGUGUUACAAAUAAAGAGGAGGAAGAAGGAAUAAUUUAAAAAUAACUCCAUAUAUUAUUUGUUCUAUUAUUUUAUCCAAUGAAUUGUGAAGAAAAUAGAUGCAUUAGUAACUAAUUAUCUAUAAAAUUAUAUGAAUUGGUCCAAUAUAUUAUUUAUUUAUUUUGUAAUUGAAGAAUUUUCUCAUGAUUAACUUAGAUGAAUAAUGAAUAAGUUAAUUAUUUUGUUGCUCCUAAUUUAACCUGGUGUGUCUAUAACUCAUGGUUCAGGUUGACCCAUUCUCUUAAUCUAACUUUGUUUGUUCAUUGAGUUGCUCUUUAAUAUGGGUGGGCUUAUUAUCAACAUGGCCAGUAAUAAUGGGAAUUGAAUCAUGCACUCUCAUAAGUGUAUCCUAGAUCCCACUAUUCCGUUUGAAAUUAUUUGAUUGCCUUUAAUCAAUUAGCACUAUCUUCCCCAACCCAUUCGCGAUGUCUCCCUCCUACGAAGGUUGCUCCCUUCCUCCUUCGUCUCAAACCUGCAUAUCCUCGUUCCCUUCCUUCUUCGUCAUUGAAGGCAAGCUUCUUCCUUUCUGGUGGGGUUGGGGUUGGGUUCUGGUAGGGAUGGGUUUUGGGGGUGGCUUCUGGUAGGGGUGGUUUCCGGUGUGGAUGGGGUCGCAUUUCAAAAUGCUCAUUCUGUAACCAAAAAAUGCUUUCGGAAUGAGCUUUCCAUAAGCAAAAAAAGCUUCAAUUUUUCAUAAGCCAAAAAAACAUUCAGAAUAGUUGUUCUGGAAGUACUUUAGCUUAAGCAACGACUAUUCCAUAAGCAAAUUUGUAAAUCCAAAACAUCCUGUCUAGAAGUGUAUUUUAUAUAUUUUGUAAGGGGGGUUCCAAAAAUUAGUAUUGGGCUUACAAAAAGCCCAUUAUGGAAGCAACAUCUGCAAUCCAAAGUAGCCUUUCCAAAAGUGUAUUUUGCAUCUUUCAAAAAGUACGAUUUUGGCUUAUGGAAUGACCAUUUCGAAAACAAAAUUGCAAUCCAUAAUAGUUUUUUGGGAGUACAUUUUGUACCUUCCAAAUGUUCAUUUGAGACAACAAUAUUUUUACUUACGAAAUAGGUGUUCCAUAAGAUUUUUCCUUCUGAAAUGGUCAUUCCAUAAGUGAAUUUAUCCCUUACGGAAAGCCUAUUUCGGAAACAAGUUUACAACAUGAACGUGAAUGCACGUUAAAAUGUACCUGCAAAGUGGAGAGUUAGAGAAGGAGAGGGACUUUUGCGGUGUUGAGUUGGACUUGCUUUGUACCUUCAAUGGUUGCGAGAAAAAGAGUUGGAGAAGAUAAGAAGAACUGGAAAAGGGGUUUAGACUUGCGCUAUAGGAAGAGAAGAACGAGAAUGGGCUGCAACUACGAGAGAAAGAAGGGAAACCGAGGAUGAGGAUAGAAAGGGUAGGUUGGGGUUUAUUAAAAAAUGGGAGAUGCAUGAUACAUUUAGGGAGGUGCAGAAUUCCAGUAAUGACCAACUCAAGUCCAAUUAAUGGUGACAUCAUAAGUUAAUGACUUAGUGUCACUUUUGAUCCAUUAUGUUUCGCAAUUAUUUUGUUUUAAUACAUUGAGUUUAAAAUGUUUCAUUCCAAUCCUUUAUGUUUUUGAAAUAUAUUGUUUUGACUCUUUUUCUAAUUUUCUAUUUGAAAUGUUAGUUUUUUGUUAAUAUUUAAAUUUCAAAAUAAUUAAUUUAUGACAGUGGUGAUUAAAAAUCGUCACAAUAUUUAAAUUAAUUAUCUUAUUAUAAAUAUAAUUAUUUAAACAUUAAUUGUAGCAAUUUUUAAUUCCAACAAAUUUCUUAUUAAAUUUUUAUAAAUGAUUCUUCAUCCUUGAAGAUUCAAUCUUCAUUCCACAAAUCAACAAAUGCAGUUUACAAAUAGCAAGAACAAUUUUUAUUUGCAAGAAACAUAGAGAUGUUCACUCAAUAAUGAUAUAAAACUUGUUCUUUUUUACACAACAAAACACAAUGAGCCCUUUUUUUUUUUAUCACAUAUGACGAAAGCAACAGCUCCAGGGUCAUUAAUUAGCUUUGCAAACGGGAUCUGAUAAUCACAACCGUGGUUGAUAAUCCUCCAAUGUAAUUUGUGUUUAUAAAUUUUAUUUUUUACUCCUUUAUAUACUAUUCAUUUUCUAAAAAAGAUUACUCAUGUAUGUAACUAAAGAUUAUAUUUUUUGUUUCUGUUUAAAAAAAUGUUUUCUUAUGUUAAUUUUUUUUCUUAAUCGAUGCUUUAAUGAUAUAAGUAAUUAACUAUUUGCUCCUGCAAUGUAGUUUAAGUGUUAUGCUACAUUGUUAGUUUUUAUAUAUGCAUGUGGGAAGGUUCACUUGGAACAAGUUGCAGUGCAAACUUGGAGUCUAAUAUACAUAUAACCAUUAAUGGAAGCCUUCAUUCCAAUAGACAAUAUAUAUAAGUUGUUUCGUGCUUAUAAAAUUGUAAUGUUUUUUGUAAAGGAUGUUUAAGUGUGUCAAAUAUGUUAUAGCAAGGCAAGGUACGUAGCAGUAAACUUUAAAUGAUGAGUCAAGCAUUUCCAGUAAAUCUACUCUAAUUGCAUGUUUACAUUGAAAUUUUAAAGUAUUAUUCAUUUUAUGUUAGUAGUCCUACAGCUGGCUACUAGCUAGCAUGAAUGUUUAUGUUGUUAUUUUGUGGAGAAAGUCAAAUAAUUGUUUUAGGUGAUUAAUUUCACGCAUUUAGAUAUGGAUGCUGAAAAUUCUUAAGUCAGACUUUGAAUUGUUUCAUGUUCAUAUUAAUAUUCAUAUAAAGAGAUAAACAAAUAUGUAACUUAGCUCUAUUUUUGUUUUGGUGAAUUAGCUCUAUUUAUUAUAGUCUAAUAAUAAUGGCUGCAUGUUGGACUAAAUAGCAGAAAUAUACUUUGCGGAGAUCAUUAAUUGUGAUCAAAAUUGUGGCAUUUUUUUAUUACCACUCAUAAAAUUAUCACCAUGAAAACCCUACUAAUUACGCAUUUAACGAUCCUCAAUUAUUUCAGUAAAAUAAAUUUUUGUCUACCUUAAUUUUUUUUUUCUGUAAAAUUCUCCUAUAGUUAAAUUUACAAUAGAAAUUUUCAAACGAUACUUUUUUUAAGUAAAUAAUUAAUUAAAUUUAUGCAAAAUAAUUAAAUUAGGUCAUAUCAAAUUUAAUAUGAAUUAGAUUAUUAUUUUAAUACUUAUUUACUUACAUAAAAAUAUUUAUUUUUUAAAAAAUAUAAUUAUUCACAUGAGAUUUAUAGCAAAUAAUUUUUUAACUUAAUAUUUUUAUAACUUAUUACAACUUUUUUAAACAUUAUACACCAUUGUUUUAUUUUUUGCAAUUUAUUUUUCUGUAGUUAAGGUACAACUUUGAUGAGGAAAAUGGACCAAUAUUAUAGAUAAAUCACAUUAGUCAAAAAAAUGUGAAUAAGAUGAUUUAUUAAAAAUCAUAUCACCAUUAAUUUAAUGUUUUAUAUAAAAGACAGGUUUGAUAAUGAGUUUAUAGUUUAGGAAAUUUAAAUUAAGUGAAGGGUAAAAUGUCAUGAAUAAGUUUGAAAAUUCAUAUCUUAUUUUUAGGUAUUGAGAGAAGGAUAAUGAAUUUUAAUGAUUUUAAUAUUGUUUAUUUGAAUUUGUGCAUUCGUUCAAUGAAUUUUAUUUUUCAAUAAAAAUAUCAAAUGUAGAAAAUAAAAUAAAAGAUUUUUUCUUUUUCACUAUUUUGAUUCUUAAUUUCAUAAAUAUUUUAAAUAAAUUUUAUAUUAAAAUUAAAAAUAUAAUAAAAAUAUUUGUUUUAAUCAAACGUGUUUUUAUUUUUUAUAUGAUUUUGAAAAGAAAUUAAAAGAGAGAAAAUACAAAAUUUUACUCACAAUAUAAAUUUUUUUCAUGAUAUAAAAAAAGAAAAUAGGAUUAAUAAAAUUUUGUAUGAUAAAAUAAUUAAUAGUAAAUUUAUUUAUUCUUUCUUUUACUUAUCAUUAUUUUAAAAAUAUAUAAAAUUUCAUCAAAAAUAAAUAUAUUGUAAUUCUUCCUCAAGUUAAAUGAUAUAUAAAGUUAUAUUUUCUUAACUCUAAUUUUUCUUUAUAUAUAUAUAUAUAUAUAUAUAUAUAUAUAUAUAUAUAUAUAUAUAUAUAUAUAUAUUUUGUUAAAUUUCCCUUUACUUCCAAAUAAAUAAUAAUUUUCAUUUUCCAAAACAAAAUUAGGUGAAGAGAUGAUUUGGAAAAAUAAGUAAAAUUUGAGAUAAUUAUUUUUAAUUAUAUAAAAAUUUCUAAACAAAAAUUGUAAAUGUUUAUCUGUCAUUAUUUUUCUGAAGUUUUAAAGUUAUUGUUUAAAAAAAAUUACACCUCCUACACAUAAUUUGUCCAGUGUGUCGCACAGAAACAUGUACUAGUGUAUGAAUAUAAGAAUAACACAUCCUUAUAUAAGUAAUUUGGUGUGAUCAUUUAUAUUUUCUUUUUCUUUUAUGUGAUUCUCAUCAUAUAAUAUAAACGGUAAUAUUAAUAUAUCGUUAGUUUGAGUAAAAUUAAGUUUAUUUUUUAAAAAUAAAAUCUAAGAUUCAAAUGUUAUAAAUAAAUAAAAAAUAUGAUUAAAAAAAAGCCAUCUAAUUUUUUUUGACAAAGGUUAAUGAUAAGUUUAAUCUGAGCAAUAACAUGACAGUAGAAGCAACCGACUGCAACUCGUCUACUUGAAUAUCUUCCUAAUAAUUGUUUCAACUUUCAAGCCUCGUGUGCUUUGACAUUUAUGCUCCAUAUCCUGAAAAUUUUGAUAAGAUAAGGGACCAAUCUAUACACAGUCCCAAGGAGAUUUGCAAGUAAGAAGAGAAAAAAAUAAAAUUCCAGACCCAUUGUUGGUGAAGGCGAAAUGUGUAGUGGGUUGUCAACGCAAUGCAAUGGUUCACAGUGUGCUGGUCUUAUUGAUGUUUUUUGGUUGCAGGUUCAAUGGUGGUUCUGAUGUAGAGAAGAAGAUGAAAGGGCCAAGGAGGAGAGAAUGGAACAGAGGAAGAAGAAGAGGGUAGAUGAGGAAAGAGAGAAAGAAAAAUCCAAAAAGAAAAUAAAAAUCCCAGCCAUUGAUUUUAAUUUUAAAAUAUCUAAUAAUUUCAAUUAGUUUCCCACUAUGCCAAUCUCGUAAAACUUUCGUCUGGCACCGUGCCUCGCUGUUGAAGGGUUCCCAUGCUAGCAUCUGCCAACACGAUCUGACAUUUCAACUAGGGGUGGGUAUAUCGGUCGGUUUAGUCCGUUUAAGAUCUGACAUGUGAAAUCAAUAUUUUAAGCUUAUUGGGUAAAUCUGGUUGUAAAAUAGAAAGAUUUUUUUUCUUUUUUUUAGAUUUAUAUUGGUUUCCUAAUCCGGUAAAUAAACGAAUUGGUCCGUGGGUUCAAUUAAUAAUUUAAAAAUAAAAAUAAAAAUAUAUUUUUAAUUAUUUGGUAGGUUCGCAAGCAAGAGAGGGGCAACACACGUCAACUGAAGAAGAGAAAGUAAUCUUGUGGAUCUCGUGACAGAAUGAGAGCUGGAGAAGGAGUGAGAGUUAAAAAGAAGAGACUGCCAAGUAUAAAGUCUCAACUCAAAUACUAAAUUUAUGUAAUUUUUAUUUUAAAAUUAAUUUUAUCUUAUUAGUAAAUCUGUGUAUAAAAUUCGUUAAAUUUGCAUACUUAACGAAUCAAACUCAAAUAUUAUUUAUAAUUAUAUGGAUUUAUAAAAAAAUAAAUUGAUAAUAUGCUCAAUCCACGAAAAUAACGGACCGUCCCCGCAAACCUGAAUAGUCAUCCCUAAUUUCAACGGAGUGGAAAGUGGGAAACCAUGAAACUUGCUACGUACUGUGAAAUUAAAAGGUCCGUACUAAUGUACGAAAUUAAUAAUCUUCUCCUCCCUUGUCGUCAUUUCUCACCUCAUCAUAUACAUAAUAAUACAUUAGUACUUUUUUAGGAGGACAGGCCAUAUAUAUUUUUAACACAUUUUUAAUAUUAUUUGUUGUUAAUUAGUUUUUUAAUAAAUUAUAAGUUAAGUUAAAAUUUAUUAAAUUUACAAAACUAUAAGAAAAAAACAUUAAAUAAGAUGUAGGAUCUACAAAAUUUAUAAUUUAUAAUAAAUUUUAACUAAUAAAUUUUAACUAACAAAUUUUCAGCAUUUUUCUAUUCUUUUAGACUACAAGUAUUGAUUAAGUUAAAACAACCAUGUGUUAAUGGUUCCUAUAGUAAUAUUAUUAGGAUAGAAUAUAAUUAUUUUUGGUACAAAAAUACAUGGGAUUUAGAUAAAAAAAAAUCCUGUUAAUUAAUGUUACAAGAUACAUUAUUUAAACAUUUAAAAAUUAACAUUACAUUUAGCAUUUCAAGUUUUCAACGGAGUAGAAAGUGGGAAACGAUGAAAUUUGCUACUCUUAAUUUAAAAGGUUCGUACUAUAAAUUAUAAUGAGAUUCGUCUUUACUUUCGCACCCUCUAUACAUUAUAGUAAUUUAAAGUGCAUGUGAUAUGGUAUGCGAAUAUUUCUACCUGUUGUUUAAAAUUUAUUUAGAAUAUAGUACGACACUGAAACAUUAUUAUCUCAUAAAAAAAAUUUAUAUAAUUAAAAAUAAAUUUAAUUUAAUACAUUGAUAAUAUAAUUUUUUUAUAUCAUCAAUUAAUUAAAAAUCAUUCUAAAUAUAAAUUUUAAAAUAACUAUUAUAAAAGUAAAAAAAAUUAAUAUACACAACAAUUCAUAAUUAGAUGACAUUGCGUUUUAAUUAAUUCAUUGAAAAUUAGUGCCUUUUAUAAUAAAUAAUCUAGAAGUGAUAUUUAAAGUGGUUUCUAAUUAGUUAUUAGUAUACAUUUUUACAGUAGCAUAGUUUUAAAAUUAAACUUCCAGUAUAUGUUUUUAUUUUCUAGAUAUACAUGCAGAUUAAAAAUAUAUUUUAAAACUAAAGGAGACUUUUUUGUUAUAUAAUAAUAAUAAUAAUAAUAAUAAUAAUAAUAAUAAUAAUAAUAUAAAGUGAGAGAUGGAAAUGUAUGAGGGGACGAUGUUCGAUUUAUUUUUAUGAUGGGAACAUAAUUUUUUAAAAUAAAAAAUAAUUAGAAAAUUUUAUUUAAAAUAUUUUUAUUAUUAAUAUAUCUCUUAUUAAAAUUAUAUAUAUAUAUAUAUAUAUAUAUAUGAGAUUGCUAGCAUACUCUAAUGUUAGAGUAUUUAAAUAACCUACAUCAAAUUAUUAGAAUAAAAAGCUUAACUAUUUAUUUUGUGAUAAUAAAUUUAUUUAAAAAAAUAUGAUAAUUUAAUAUUUAUAUUUUUAAAAUUCAUUUAUUUAUCUCUUCAACUCAUUCUCUCUCCUCUCUUUUUCUCUCACAUCAUUUAAUAUUUAUAUUUUCAAAAUUAAAAUUUAAAAUAUUUACCGAGAGAAUGAAUGAGGAAAAUAAAUAAAUGAGUUUUAAAAAUAUAAACAUUAAAUUAUCAUAUUAUUCUUAAAUAAAUUUAUUAUCACACAAUAAAUAGUUUAAUCUUUGAUCUAAAUAAUUUGGUGUAGGUUAAAUACUCUAACAUGAGAGAGUAAGUUAACAAAUCAUUUUAUGAAUGUACGUAUGGGAAGGAAGAAUGUAAUAGAAAACAAAAAAGAAAGAAAAAGAAGGAAAUUAAAAAUAAUAAAUGUAAUUAAUGAUUUAAGAAAAAAAUAAAAAUAUAGUAUACAAACGAGAAAAUAAUUACAGUCAGACUCAGAAACUGUCAUGAUAUUUAUUCAUCUCUAAGUAAAACAUAAUUUUAUUUUAUUUUAUUUUCCCCUCAGAAUUUUAAAAACUCAAGUGUCUCAUGUAUAGCCAAAAAAACCAUAGACGCAUGGUAGUUGGAGAGCCGAGAGCCUACAAUUAUUUCUGAGACAAAAGAUGGAAGAUAAAGUUUACAUAAUUGUUCUCUCUCCAAUUUCUAUUAUAAGAAAAAAAAUAAUUUCAUAUUAAUUAUAAAAUUAAUUAAUUUUAUUAAAUUAUGUUAAUUCCAAAUAAAAAUAAGUUUUUUAAAAAAAUUAUUUUUCAUUAAAACUUGAUAUCAAACAUAAAAAAAAAAUUAUCCUAUCAAAUGAAAGACAUUUAUUUAAAAAUAGUUUUAUUAAAUACGGUAAAGUUAAUUAACUUUUGUUUAUAUAAAAAAAAGCAAUUUUUUUGUUGCUUAUUAAAAAGACCAGUGGGAGUACUAAUUAAAACAAAACUAUGGCUGCUAUGUAACAUGGCACCAGAGAGUCUCAAUCCUUAGAGAAAUUAAAUACCAAACUUUGACAUUUCACAGAGUGAUGGUAGUAAUAAAUGACAAGGAAUGAGACCCAGCAUGGACCCAGUCCUUUGACCACUAUUAUUGUCCAGCUCAAUUGAAAUUUUUUUAUUAAGAGUUUAACUUAGUUGAAUAUGAUAAAUAAAUUAUUAUAAUUUUUUAAUAUUUAUUUUUAAUUUUUAUGAAUAAAAAACUAUUACAAUCUCAGUUCAUUUUCUUGGGACACGUAAUCAAGUUUAAUAACUAUUUCUCAUAGCUUAAAAAUUCAGUUAUGUCGAGUAUUUAUGUACAAAUUAGUUAGAACAAUAGGCGCGUAUAGUGGUCGCCCUCUAAGACAUAUAAUUGUGAAGAUCGAAGAGAAGCUUUAUACAAUUAUUAAUGAUAAAACUAUCAUUGUUAUAUAACAUGGGGCCAUAAAUGAGUGCAUGGAUUGAAUGAUGCAAAAUUGUUACAACUUAAUUAAUUAUCUUGAGUUUUAAUUUUAAAUAUAUAUUUGUGUUAAAUACUCCGGAAAGAGUUUUAUGUUCAUAAUUAUUAUAUUUAACUUGAACAAUAUUAACUCAACUGAUGAUGCAUAUAUAGUUUAUACAAAAAAUAUAUAUAUAACAUGGGACCUAGGCGAUGGCAAAACGGGUUGGAUCUAUUCGAUCAACCCAUUUUGGGCUUUUUUUUCGAAUUAGGUUGGAAUUUUCAAUCCUUCAACUGCUUUGCUAUGUUUUGAUCCGCUACAAAAUGGGUUGAGAGGAAAGUAGAACGGACCAACUCUCUAACCCGUUUUUUUUAUUAAGAAAUAAUUUUAGUAUUUAUUUUGAUAUUUUAUACUAAUAUUUAUUAAUUUUCAAUUAGCUUAUUUUUUGUCUAAAUAAAUUAUUAUUAAAAAUUUAAGGUAAUACAUUUAAUUUUUUAGUAAGUAUUUAUUAUUUAAUAUUUAUAAAAGAUAAAAUUAAUUAAAAUACAUUUAUAAUUUAUUUUUUUAGUUUUGACAUGACAAAAACGAAAUGAACUGAACACUUUGAAUCUAUAUAUAAAAUACGGGAUGAGAUGGGAUGGAUUGAUCCGUUUUUUAUGGAUUGAUCCCUUUUUGCUAGCCCUAAUGGGACCAAAGAGUCACUAUCCUUUAGAAAAAUUCACACCAAACUUUUGACAUUACAGGCAGGGACAAUGCGAGUAAUAAAUGGCAUAGAAUGAGACCCUAGUCCUCUGGCCACUAUAAAAAGGGAUGAUUGUGUGUGUUACAUGCAUCAGCCACCACCAUUGACUAGUAUCAUUAAGAUGGCUAAUUCCUACUUAUCCUUGCUUGUCUUGAUCCUUGUAGCUCUGCUCCUCACCCCUCAAGGGCUUGCUGAUGAAUCUGAUUCUUACUAUAAGCCACCAGUUUACAAGAAACCACCAGUGUACAAGCCCAAGCCCAAGCCACCCAUUCACAAGCCCAAGCCACCCGUUUACAAGCCCAAGCCACCCGUUUACAAGAAACCCCCUUAUGGUAAGUACCCACCAGUUCAAGACAACGAUCACUUCUAAACCAUGCAACAAGGCAUGUUAAUGUUAACUAUCUACUAAAAUAAAGAGGUUCAGUUAACCUACUACGUACGUUGCUCCUUUUAAUUCCUAAAUCGUAAUUUACAACUUUGUAGGGAUGAGACAUUCUUGGCUAGCUCUGCACUUCAAUCCUUUAUUUGUACAAUGCUAUGGCCAAGUCAAUACCAUGCAUCUUAUCUAUGUGUGUCAUUGAACGAAGUAGUUGCGUGAAAAUGAUGCUUGUACUAUGAAUAAAUAAUAAAAGAACUUUAUCAUUUCAAGAUUGUGCUGUUUAGUUUAUUUGCUGAACCACCGUUACUGACCAUAAAUAAUACACAUGCAGGUCUUGUUUAGGAUAAACUUAAUUAUCCGUAA
rnacentral:lncRNA from 1 species